AACGAACGCUGGCGGCAUGCCUAACACAUGCCAGUCGAACGAGACCUUCGGGUCUAGUGGCGCACGGGUGCGUAACGCGUGGGAACCUGCCCUUAGGUUCGGAAUAACUCCCCGAAAGGGGUGCUAAUACCGGAUAAUGUCUUCGGACCAAAGAUUUAUCGCCUUUGGAUGGGCCCGCGUUGGAUUAGCUAGUUGGUAGGGUAAAAGCCUACCAAGGCGACGAUCCAUAGCUGGUCUGAGAGGAUGAUCAGCCGCACUGGGACUGAGACACGGCUCAGACUCCUACGGGAGGCAGCAGUGGGGAAUAUUGGACAAUGGGCGAAAGCCUGAUCCAGCAAUGCCGCGUGAGUGAUGAAGGCCUUAGGGUUGUAAAGCUCUUUUACCCGGGAUGAUAAUGACAGUACCGGGAGAAUAAGCUCCGGCUAACUCCGUG
rnacentral:rRNA from 1 species